GUGUAAAGUCCAGCAGAUUUAUGAAACGUUGGGACGAUAUUUUAUUCAAUUGUUCAUUCCGACUUCUUCAACUCUUACUCUCCUUUUCUAUCUACGGCUACAAACAAAUUAAUUCGGAAAUAAAUGAAACGUAUAUAAAAACAUCUCUGUCUGUUACUCCAGAAGACAUGGACGUAAUUCAAAGAAGACUAUCCGACAUUCAAAGAAUAGAGAAACAAAAUUUCAAAGC
rnacentral:lncRNA from 1 species